GCCCAUCUAGCCCAAUCGGCAGAGGCGACGCGCUUAGAACGCGUAGGUUCCCGGUUCAAAUCCGGGGAUGGGCA
rnacentral:tRNA from 1 species